GAUCAUGGCUCAGGAUGAGCGCUGGCGGUAUGCCUAACACAUGCAAGUCGUACGCCUCACUUCGGUGAGGAGUGGCGGACGGGUGAGUAACACGUUAGUACCUGCCCCAAAGUGGGAAUAACUGCCCGAAAGGGUAGCUAAUACCCCCAUAGUCUCCGGUUUAUCCGGAGUAAAGAUUUAUCGCUUUGGGAGGGGCUUGCGUUUGAUUAGCUAGUUGGUGAGGGUAAUGGCCCACCAAGGCGACGAUCAAUAGCUGGAUCGAGAGGUUGACCAGCCACACUGGGACUGAGAUACGGCCCAGACUCCUACGGGAGGCAGCAGUGGGGAAUUUUCCGCAAUGGGCGAAAGCCUGAACCAGCCAUCCCGCGUGAAGGACGACUGCCCUAUGGGUUGUAAACUUCUUUUGUAUAGGGAUAAACCUACCCUCGUGAGGGUAGCUGAAGGUACUAUACGAAUAAGCACCGGCUAACUCCGUG
rnacentral:rRNA from 1 species